rnacentral:rRNA from 1 species
GAUGAACGCUGGCGGCGUGCCUAAUACAUGCAAGUCGAGCGAACGGACGAGAAGCUUGCUUCUCUGAUGUUAGCGGCGGACGGGUGAGUAACACGUGGAUAACCUACCUAUAAGACUGGGAUAACUUCGGGAAACCGGAGCUAAUACCGGAUAAUAUUUUGAACCGCAUGGUUCAAAAGUGAAAGACGGUCUUGCUGUCACUUAUAGAUGGAUCCGCGCUGCAUUAGCUAGUUGGUAAGGUAACGGCUUACCAAGGCAACGAUGCAUAGCCGACCUGAGAGGGUGAUCCGCCCCCCUGGAACUGAGACACGGUCCCGACUCCUACGGGAGGCAGCAGUAGGGAAUCUUCCGCAAUGGGCGAAAGCCUGACGGAGCAACGCCGCGUGAGUGAUGAAGGUCUUCGGAUCGUAAAACUCUGUUAUUAGGGAAGAACAUAUGUGUAAGUAACUGUGCACAUCUUGACGGUUCCUAAUCAGAAAGCCACGGCUAACUACGUG